GAGGGUGUAGCUCAGUGGUAGAGUGCAUGUCUAGCAUGCACGAGAUCCUGGGCUCAAUCCCAGUACCUCCA
rnacentral:tRNA from 1 species